rnacentral:snRNA from 1 species
GGACAUAAAGGGAAUAUGGCUGUGGCUUCUGUUACUCAGUUGAUCUCAGUUGAUCACCAGGGUUGAUUUGGCUGGCUAGGCUGGUGCCCGCUUCCUCUCUCACUGCUUCAUGUGUGUCAUUCCAGAAGUUGCAGGCUCUACUGAAGAUGACAACCUUCCUUGAUGGAGGAGAACUAUUCUUCNAUCAAGGGCAUAUGAGAAGUUGGGCUCCCCUGCUGGAACCUACAAACAAGUUCUCACGGUCCACCAUCUCCUAAUAGCAUCACAGGCUUGUGACCAAACUUUGGAUCCAAACUGUAGUAUUGCUCAUCUGUAUGCGGGGUGGGGNCAAUCAUCCUAGUCUAC